rnacentral:rRNA from 1 species
AUUGAACGCUGGCGGCAGGCCUAACACAUGCAAGUCGAACGGCAGCGGGGGAUAGCUUGCUAUCCUGCCGGCGUGUGGCGGACGGGUGAGUAAUGCAUGGGGAGCUGCCCAGUCGAGGGGGAUAACAACUGGAAACGGUUGCUAAUACCGCAUACGCCCUGAGGGGGAAAGGUGGGGAACUUCGGUCCUACCGCGAUUGGAUGCGCCCAUGUGGGAUUAGCUAGUUGGUGAGGUAACGGCUCACCAAGGCGACGAUCUCUAGCUGGUCUGAGAGGAUGGCCAGCCACACUGGAACUGAGACACGGUCCAGACGCCUACGGGAGGCAGCAGUGGGGAAUAUUGCACAAUGGGGGAAACCCUGAUGCGGCCAUGCCGCGUGUGUGAAGAAGGCCUUCGGGUUGUAAAGCACUUUCAGUCAGGAGGAAGGGGUGAUGGCUAAUAUCCACCAUCAUUGACGUUACUGACAGAAGAAGCACCGGCUAACUCCGUGCCAGCAGCCGCCGUAA